rnacentral:rRNA from 1 species
UACGGAGGGGGCUAGCGUUGUUCGGAAUUACUGGGCGUAAAGCGCGCGUAGGCGGAUUUGCAAGUCGGGGGUGAAAUCCCGAGGCUCAACCUCGGAACUGCCUUCGAUACUGCAAAUCUCGAGUCCGGAAGAGGUGAGUGGAAUUCCUAGUGUAGAGGUGAAAUUCGUAGAUAUUAGGAAGAACACCAGUGGCGAAGGCGGCUCACUGGUCCGGUACUGACGCUGAGACGCGAAAGCGUGGGGAGCCAACAGG